UGUCAUUGGAUAGAUUUGAUAGCAAAAAUUUGCAGUCAACAGUUUACCUUUUGUCUCAUUUACAUGAGGAUCACACAGUUGGAUUGGGGGAGCCAUUAUUCUUUCGUCGACUAAAAUCUAACACUGGAGUGUUUUUGUAUUGUUCUGAAGUAACAGAAGCCCUCCUGCUAGCAAGUCGAAAGUAUUGCCAUCUGAAGCCAUACAUUAAAUGUCUGCCAAUCAACACACCAACAACAAUAGAAAUACCAGAACCACUAUAUGACCAUAAUGAAUGCAUCACAGUCACCCUGCUUCCUGCCUUUCACUGUCC